GAUGAACGCUAGCGAUAGGCUUAACACAUGCAAGUCGAGGGGCAGCAUGGUCUUAGCUUGCUAAGACUGAUGGCGACCGGCGCACAGGUGCGUAACGCGUAUGCAACUUGCCUCACAGAGGGGGAUAACCCGUCGAAAGACGGACUAAUACCGCGUACACUCCAUCUUGGGCAUCCAAGGUAGAGGAAAUGAAAUUCGCUGUGAGAUAGGCAUGCGUCCCAUUAGCUAGUUGGUGAGGUAACGGCUCACCAAGGCGACGAUGGGUAGGGGAACUGAGAGGUUGAACCCCCACACUGGUACUGAGACACGGACCAGACUCCUACGGGAGGCAGCAGUGAGGAAGAUUGGUCAAUGGGCGAGAGCCUGAACCAGCCAAGUCGCGUGAAGGAUGACUGUCUUAUGGAUGGUAAACUUCUUUUAUACGGGAAUAACAAGAGUCACGUGUGACUCCCUGCAGGUACCGUAUGAAUAAGCAUCGGCUAACUCCGUG
rnacentral:rRNA from 1 species